ACCCCAGCCCUGCUCUAAAAUUCUUCUCCUCUGAAUUCUUUCCUUUUGCAGCAUAACCAGUCUCUUGCAUAGGAGGAAGUGGUAAGCUAAGGAGAGAAAUGCAUGGCUCCUAGCACACCAAUUUUGCAACUUUUUCAUCUUGGCCUUGCUUUAAAAUGACGCAUCUACUGUCUUCAUGCCUCAGCACAGCAGAGAAAACCAUGCUGUGUUCCAGUUUACUUUGAAUGUUUCAGUGAAAAUGAUGAAGCUGAAAAAAUGAUGGAGCCCUGUUUUACCUGGUCACCCGAAUGUGGAAAAAUUGAGUUUGAGCGAAACUGGUGUGGCCGUACUGGAUGGACCUCAGCAUGACCAGGGCAUAUUUCAGCUCAAAUCCACUGUGCCAAGAACACAUUCUGCCAAGGACCACCACCUCUUCCCACAACUGUGAGUGGGUUUAUGUCAUCACAGGAGGUGCAAAAACGUGUGGCGAGUGUCAAGACCAGAUACUGCAAGUUGUAGACACUUUCGAGUGGCCAGAGGGAAUCAGAGUGGAGUGCAGGUAUGCAGGAAAGCCGAAGGAAGGAAACCAAAAGGAGAGAUUCUCCAAACACAAAACAGAUCCUUAAGCCACAUGGAGCAAAUAUCUGAUAAGAGCUGACUUACCAGAGCACCCAUGGACUUGGACACCUAAGACGUCUGCUUGGGAUCCCACACUUUCAAGGUCUUUCCUCUGGCCUUCUUGUGGUUCUGCAACUCCUCACAGUGCUGGGAGUUGGUGAUGCCAACAGGACAUACCCUCCCAGAACCUACCUCUCCCAGAUCACUUUAAAAGGCACCCAGGACCCCAGAAUUCUCAUCCUCAAAGGCAUAGAGCUCAGUUCUUGACCCUCAACAAAUCUCUUCCUCGUAAAGAUCCUUUUGAGAGCGUAGGAUGCCCCCUGGAUGGUUUUGGUUGCAGAUUGUGGUGGUGGAGGGAGCUAUAAAAUGUAAUCUAUUACGAUUAAUUGGAUGCGCUAAUGGCAGAUUGGGUAGCGAUAACGCCAUAAGGCGUGGUGUGUGAACCAUGUGCUGCAUCUGUGCUAGCUCAGGUAAGUCAGCACACAAUGCCUGCAGCCUCCUCUCACCUCUUCCCUGAGCAGCACCUUUUGGCCUGAACGUGCCGAUCCCCCGGUUCUUCUUCUUGACAGCGACUUAACAUGCCCUGGGCAGCUUUUUAAAAUAAAUGAGUAUGAUAUUGACUAUGAAUCUAUAUAGAAGUCACUUGUUUUUCAGUCAUAAUCCAUGUCUAACUGCAGAAGAAAUUUCACACAUUUGAAAACAAAUAAAAGUGUAAAAGUGAAAACUUUUGUAACCGCAGUAUUCUGAAAUAGAAC
rnacentral:lncRNA from 1 species